rnacentral:lncRNA from 1 species
UUGUCCUUCUAUGGGUUCAUUAGCAAGUUGCCUUUUAUAUUUGUCUCUGUAGGUUUGAUGCUGAGACUUCAAAGACAGUAGAUACAGAAGUGGGACUUUAGAUUGCGAACUUUUAGAGAAACUGUGUUCUUGCUCUUGGCAGUAGCUUCAUUCUCCUUGCUGGGGAGGCAGAAGGAUUACAGUGGAGACUGUUGGGAAUCUGGAAGAUGAUGGUC